CAGCAAGAAAACUUGUUUGUUGUCAAAAGUGGAAUGUUAGUUGUACCACCCAUGUUACUAUGGCAACCAGUAAUAGGAACGCCUAACUGCGACUUCAUAGUACAGUGACUGGUGACUUGCAGUGAUAAAAUUGCUGUAUGUGUGAGGGCAGCACUAUGCAGCGCAACCAGAUACAUCACUGAAUUUAUUUUUACAUAAACAUAUGUUCCAUUACAAUUGUAUAGAAGCUACUACAGUAUAUGUAACAGGAAUUAUUCAGAAACACUGGAAUAUACUCCAGUAAAUCAAAAAUACACAAAUUUCAGAGAGAAUAUUCAAAAUCACAUCAUGAAACCAUGGUCAUUCCAAGAAUGUGACAAAAAAUGCUCUUAUCCAGAGUGUGUUACAGAAGUGCUCCGAAGUCUCUCUCAGAAAACACGUCCUCAUGCUAGUUCACUAGGACAGGGACUAAGAGUACCAUCAGUCUAAACACAGUGUUGAGAGACAGGAGACUUCAAAUUUCACCAUAAAAGUCCCAAACAAGAUCAUGUAUAGCAGUCUUCUUACACAAAAUAGGAUGAUGUGUCUGCCAUGUCAACACAGAAUUUGGCAUCUGACUACAUUUCCCAGCAUGCACCUCCGACUACAAAUAUGGCUACCAUCGACUACAAAUAUGGCUACCAUGGACUCCAACUCCCAGUUCACACGCUCAAGCUCACCCCAUUACUGACUGCACACACCUGGACUCAAUCACCACUCCACACUAUAUAAACACGCUCACUACACAUAGACUUUGUGGAGGAUUUGUUCAGCUCGCUUUCCUCAUCUGAUGUACCAAGCCUUUGAGUCAUGUGGAUCAGUUUAUUAACCUUCUCAAAGGGCAAGGAGUUAACCUGGACGACCGCAGUCUGGAACCAAGGAGGGGAACACACCUCAACUCACGAUCGAUUCACUGAACUGUUCCUCCACGUCUUUGACCACGCUCCAGAAGUCCAGCGACAGGUGUAUUUUAGGAGGUGGGAGGAAACCAGAGAACCCGGAGGAAACCCACAUGGACAUGGGGAGAACAAGCACAGAAACUCCACACAGACAGAAGCCCGAGCUCAGGACUGAAGCGGGGACCCUGGAGCUGUGAGGAGACAACGCUACCCACUGCAUCACCACACUGCUCAUAGAUCCACAGAGUUCCCCUUUUGUAUAGAUGGUAAUGAAUCAAAAACAGAACAGCUGUGUAACGCUAAACUGGAAAUUAGCUGUUAUUGUUAUUUGAAAUCAAUUUAUUCAUUAUUAUUUAUUUACUGAAUUAAUUUUUUUGAAUUUUGUCAAAGUAAUGAAAGUGUCACAGUUCAGUCCACAUCGACCGCGCUUGAGUUUUGGAAGGCAUGCAACUUAAAAAAAAAAAAAAAAAAAAAAACUCUCUCUUUAUGUAUAUAUGUAUGUAUGUAAUAAUGAAAAGUGUAAUAGAAAAGUCAUUUAUUUGUAACUGUCAUGUCUUCAUUCUGGUCUUAGCUGUAAAUAGAUGCGUGUGAAUUUCACACCUUUUUCUGC